rnacentral:misc_RNA from 1 species
GAUGAAGAACGCAGCGAAAUGCGAUAAGUAGUGUGAAUUGCAGAAUUCAGUGAAUCAUCGAAACUUUGAACGCACAUUGCGCCCUUUGGUAUUCCUUAGGGCAUGCCUGUUCGAGCGUCAUUUAAACCUUCAAGCUAAGCUUGGUGUUGGGUGACUGUCCGCUUCACGGCGGACUCGCCUCAAAAUUAUUGGCGGCCGGUACAUUGGCUUCGAGCGCAGCAGAAACGCGAACUCGGGCCCGUCGUAUUGGCUCCCAGAAGCUAUCUUCACAAUUUUGACCUCGGAUCAGGUAGGGAUACCCGCAGAACUUAAGCAUAUCAAUAAGCGGAGGA